CUCCGCGGGCCUCCGCGGGCCGCAGGCGGGUGGACGGGCGCUUCUCGCUGGCGUUUCCUGACUUUGGUCGGGGCGGCGAAGCGCUCACCAGAUCAAAUACCUUCUUUUUUUUUUUUUUCGUUCUUUUGUAAAGCCAGAUGUCGUCUUUUUAAUUGGAAAAACAAAAUUCACAGAAAGUAGAAUGUCAUUUUCAGGGGCUGCACCUGGGAACCGGGCCCGUGCCCUGGCUCUAGUUGAAGAAUAAUCUCAUCUUGUUUGCCUGUCCGAUUCGUCGUCGUCUUUCUUUUUUCAUCCCUUCCUCCUCUCCCUUUCCCGCGAAGGUGAUGAGAGCUACCGGACUGGUUACCCGAACUUCCGGGCCCCUUGCCAAAGAAUGGAGCCAAGAAAGGUUGCUGUAGACAAACCCCCUGCUCAGUCCAGCACCUGUUUCCUCUCUUCCUGUACCACCAAAGGCCCUCGGUACAUUUGGAAAAAUGAGGUGCCACCUGGAGACAGCACUGCCUAGGCAGUACCAGAAGAUUUCAUUUAUAAAUGCACUAAGUUGAUUUUCUCUUAUAAGCCUAGUCUUGAUUUGAAAUUCCUUUUUAAAAAAUAAGUUUUUUCCUCAGCCAUCCUGAGGUUUUGCUCUACUAUAUCCAAAAAAAAAAAAGGGUUCAGAGAUUUCAAAGGAUUGCUAUGAAGGAAAAUAUGAUUUUAACAUUUGAGUUUUUCUUUGUAAAAGAUUUUCUCACAAAGGCAGUAUUGCAGUUGUGAAGGGGGAUGUUUGUUGACAGCAUUUAAGGAAUUGUAGCAAACAGAAGAGGUCACGGAAGAACGGAUAUAAAAGCAAAUUACCACACUGCAAAAAGGCAGAAAGGUGGAUUCCAGUAGACCACAAACUGCACCCAUACAGCUACCAUCAGCCCUAAAGAAGGACUUUUAACCUAGUAAUGCACACUGCCAUCACUGCUUCUGGUUAAGCAUCCCUACUUACUCCGAGAAGAAUGUGGCAUCAGGAUUGGAGGAAGACUCAUUAACAACCUGCCUUACACAGAUGACACAACCUUGCUUGCUGAAAGUGAAGAAGACUUCACUGAUGAAGAUCAAAGACCACAGCCUUCAGUAUGGAUUACACCUCAACAUAAAGAAAACAAAAAUCCUCACAACUGAACCUGUAAGCAACAUCAUGGUAAAUGGAGAAAAGAUUGAGGUUGUCGAGGAUUUCAUUUUACUUGGAUCCACAGUCAACACCGAGGGAAGCAGCUGCCAAGAAAUAAAAAGACUCAUUGCGUUGGGUAAAUCGGCUGCAAAAGACCUCUUUAAAGUGUUGAAAAGCAAAGAUGUCACUUUGUGGACUAAGGUGCGCCUGACCCAAGCCAUGGUGUUUUCAAUUGCCUUACAUGCAUGUGAAAGCUGGGCAAUGAAUAAGGAAAACUGAAGAAGAAUUGAUGCCCUUGAAUUAUAGUGUUGGUGAAGAAUAUUGACCAUACCAUGGACUGCCAAAAGAACCAACAAGUCUGUCUUGGAAGAAGUACAGCCAGAAUGCUCAUUAGAAGCGAGGAUGGCCAGACUAUGCCUCACAUACUUUGGACACGUUAUCAGGAGGGAUCAGUCCCUGGAGAAGGACAUCAUGCUUGGUAGAGGGUGAGCAAAAAAGAGGAAGACCCUCAAUGAGAUGGACUGACACAGUGGCUACAACAGUGGGCUCAAGCAUAACAAUGAUUUUGAGGAUGGCGCAGGAUGGGACAGUGUUUCAUUCUAUCCUACGUAGGGUCACUAUAAGUCAGAACCGAAUUAGCAGCACCUAACAACAAUGCUUACUCCAGAAAAUAACCUUAAUACUUCUAUUAUGUAUAAUAUGCUGCAUUAUUGUAAUUAUAAAUCUCAUAUCAGUUCUAUAUUAAUUAUUGAUUUUUGCUAUUUCAAAGAUUAGAUACUUGUUUCUGUUCAGAUUUUCUAGUUUGUGUCUUUGAUGAAAGCCUCAAAUCAGGAGUCUUACUGGAAAUGUAUUAAAACAAGAAUCUUGAUAAGAUGGCAUUAGUAAAAUUAAAAUGAAGCUCCUGGAAGCAAGAAACUUUGUCUUUUGCACAGUCUACAACUCUCGCAUUACCUAGUAUAGGGUAAGGAUCUAAGUACUACAGUUUAUUUAGUAUUUUCUUAAUGUUUGCCUAAAUGCAAACAAAAAGAAACCAAGAGUAGCAACAUUAAUAUAAGGUAUAGGAAAAUUAAGGCCAAAGCAUUACAUGUGAAGAAAAGGGAUAUUAUGUAAUGAUGAGAGGUACACUUUACAAAAUAACAACCUUAAUAAACUAUGCACUGGAUAAUGUAACCAAGUGCAAAAAUACCUAGCAAUUCAAGAGUUUGGUUAGAAGCAUUCACACACAAUUAUAAUGAGUUUAAUAAACCUCUUUCAGAAUUUUAACAGAUAAGUAGACAAAGCAAGGAUAGAUAAUAUGUUAAUACAAUCAACUGGCUUGAUUUUUAGCCAAAUAUAGAACUUUGUACCCCAUUAUAGAAGUGUGCAUUGUUUUCACACGACCCUGAAAGAUUUACAAAAAGCAAUCAAACACCUCUCAGUAAUUAAAGCUACCACAAAUGUUGGAGACAGAAAUUUUAUAGGCUACUUUUCUGAUUAUAAUCUAGUAUACCUAGAAAUCAGUGCUAAAAAAAAAAGAAGACCAUAAA